rnacentral:tRNA from 1 species
AGGAUUUUAAGUUAUUUAAAACUAAAAGCCUUCAAAGCUUUAAAAAAAAGGUACUCUUUUAAAUCCUA